UAUUACUUCCAGCUGCCCUUUGCAUACACUGCCCGUCGCAACUGCUGAUUGAAUGACUCGGUGAACCUUUCGAACUGGCCCAGAGAGGUAGGCAACUACCACCCAGGGCCGGCAAGGUAUCGAAACUCGGUCAUUUACGGGAGGUAAAAGUUGUAACAAGGUCUCCGUUGGUGAACUAGCGGAAGGA